CUUUAUAUCAAGAUUUUUGUCUUAAAAAAGUGGAAGUACAUAAAGAUGCCUGAUCUUCCAUUCCAAGUUGGGGAUUUGGCUGAGUCAAGAUGCUUUGAAAAGGUGGUUAUCGUGGUGCAUGGUUUAGAUGCAAGGUCUUGCAAUGCGUGAAUGAGGUGCUUUCUCUUUGUAGUGUGCUUAGGUUGGAUUUUGGUCAGACCGUGGGUGAUGUUCACCCAAGUUUGCAUGGGACUCAAGUGGAACAGUCAACUAAUAUUAGCAAUAGCACAUUGGAAGGUCUAGAGCAGGCCAUUCUCAAGUUAAAAAUAGAAAGGAAAACUAGAAUUUCAGAAGCUGAAGGAUGUUGUAGCAAAACUAUUUGAACUUUGGAAUUUGAUGGACUCUUCAAAAGAAGAGAGAAACUGUUUUAUGAAGAUUACUUCUAUUGUUGAAACCUCAGAAUCAGAAAUCACUGAACGAAGUGUUAUUUCAACAGAAAUUAUAGAGAAGGCUUCAGCAGAAGUGGACAGGCUUGCCAAACUAAAAGCAAGCAGAAUGAAAGAACUUGUUUUUAAGAAAAGGUCAGAGUUAGAGGAAAUAUGUAGAUUGACUCAUAUUGAACCAGAUCCAAGUACUGUGGCCGAGAAAGCUAGUGCAUUAAUAGA